UACGGAGGGUGCAAGCGUUAUCCGGAUUCACUGGGUUUAAAGGGUGCGUAGGUGGGCAGUUAAGUCAGUGGUGAAAUCUCCGGGCUCAACCCGGAAACUGCCAUUGAUACUAUCUGUCUUGAAUAUCGUGGAGGUAAGCGGAAUAUGUCAUGUAGCGGUGAUAUGCUUAGAUAUGACAUAGAACACCCAUUGCGAAGGCAGCUCACUACCCGAAUAUUGACUCUGAGGCACGAAAGCGUGGGGAUCAAACAGG
rnacentral:rRNA from 1 species